AUACAUAUUUUGCCUGCAGAAAUUGGAAUAUCAAGCACAAAGUCUACGACAGUCAGUUCUUCAGGAACACCUGGCAGAGAAAUCUUUAUUUCUGGAAAACAUCCACAAUAUCCUGUUAUAACACAGAGGAAUCAUCAGACUAAGACAACUCCCUUUGCAAGUGGAAGUUCUCGAAUUGAACAAGGACAUUAUAAAGAUACUGCAACCUCUCUAUACACAGUGCCAUCGUCCAUUUUAAUUCUGAUUACCAUAUUGCCAAUUCUUGAGUUACUCUCUGGAGUGUGAUGCAAUUUUUUCAGCUUGUACAUUUUAUUAAACAACUGGAUUUUUAAAUGUUGCUGCUGCUGCUACUGCUGCUGCCGCCACUCAAAGUCUAAAUACAAGAAAGUAAUGGACUUUUACAUUUUUUUUUUUAAAUUUUGUUUUUCCUCCCAUGAAGAACAAAUCAAUUUUGCUUUUGCCAACACAAAAAUACAAUUUACGAACAGGAAAAAAUUUAAAACUAAGCAUGAAUUUCUAUGAUAAUAACAACAAUAAUAAUAACACCACAACAUAUACAAACAACAACAAUAACAAUAACAGUAACGAUAAUCAUAAUAAUAUUAAUAAUAAAGUGAAAAUAAGUAAAUUUCAUCACACAAAGCAGAAAGUAAAUAAUGGUCAGUGAGCAAACUUUCUAUCAGUUUCAAUAAUUAAGCAAUUGUGAAAGUUGCCAUGGCAAUAUUAACAAACAACAACAACAACACUAUCACUGGCAUCCACAAACACAACUAUAAACAAAAUAGGAAAAUGGAACACACAGCAGCUAGACAAUAGAACAUAAAACACCUGUUUCUGAAGAGUAUCUAAAUACCAAGUAUUGUUUAUACAAUGUAGAGUUGCCAAAGAUACUAUAAUGAUAAUAAUAAUUAGAUUAUAAGGAGAAUGAGAAGUUGCAGUGUUCAUUCAUUCCAAAACAACAUGAAAUUUUAAAUAUUAAAUUCUACAGCAAUUACAAGAAUAAGAGCUGUGUAAUGAGAAGGGAGAUUAAGAAUAAUCAGCAAUAAUAUUAACAUUUAAAAUUCAUCAUAUAUAUAUAUAUAUACAUACACACAUACACAUAUAUAUAUAUAUAUAUGUAUAUAUAUUAUAUAUAUAAUAUAUAUGUAUAUAUAUAUAAUAUAUAUAUAAAUGAGAGGCAAGGUAGGAGAGAGAGAGAGCAAAAUAAAAAGAAUGAGAGACAGCGAGCGAGAGAAAGAUUGCAUGCUAAUGCUUAAUAUAUCGCUGUGAAACAGAAUAAAUAAAUCAAUAAUGGUCUCAUGAACUACAUGAGUAUUCUGUUUUGUGUUUUUUUUUGUAUAUAUAUAAUUGUGUGUAUGUAUAUAAAUAUGUAUGGGUGUGGUUGUGUGUGCAUGUGUGACAUGUAUAUAUGCAUGUGUGUGUGUGUGAUGUAUUAAUGUGUGAGCAUAUAGCAAUAUUCACAUACAUGUGUAUGUAUAUAUAUAUAUAUAUAUAUGUGUAUAUAUAUAUAUAUACACAUAUACAAUGUAGAAUUAUAUAUAUAUAAACAUACAUUACAUGCACACACCCACUCACAGAUAUUCCUAGCAGAUGUCCUUGGAUGGAUAUAUCUAAAGAAUUGUUGAAACUUCAACCAACUCAGAACACUACUGGAAAGUCAUUAGCUUCUUCACAGAUGCUAAAAUUUUCUUUUUAUUCUUAAUAAUAAAGGGAUAAUGUUAGCAACGAUGCUGAUGACAAUGACAACAUCGGCAUUGAAGGUGUUGAUAAUGAUGAAAAAAAUAAUAUAAUGCUUUGUGUUUUUUUUUUUUUUUUUUUUUAAUCCAUUUCUGUUAUACAAGAGAAUGGAAUUCUAACAACCAACAAAGAAAUAGAAAAAUAAUGAAAAGAAUAAAUAAAAACAAGCAAAUUGGAGUAAAGUGCUUCUUAAAUAUGGGAGAAAAAAUAUUACCUAACAAACUGGAAUGGUAUAUUACUGUUGCAUUUUGUAUGUGAUGAUUUUGGUCUUGAAGUGCAAUAUUAUUACAGGUAUCCAUACACAUACACUCUUACAUAAGUUUACUUGUGUAAUAUGCAGACACACAUAAGCAUAUUCAACAUUUACUUUCACUGGUAACUUGAUUUGGACAAUUUGAUGGCAAUAACCUUUGAGAAAUAUUUGACUACAAUUAAAAUAAAGACAAAUUUAACACUAUGUAUAUGACUGGAUGAUAGUCAUAAAAAAACUUCCACUUUGGAAUUUUUUGUUCAUUUAUUUUUGUUUUGUUUUAUUUUUGUUCAACAUAAAGAAAAGAAAAUCUACAUAAAUACUAAAAGAAAAUGAACACCUAUCACUUAUGAGAAACAUGGAAAUAUCUGAUCAACAUCCAAGAAAUGUGCUUGAUAAUUUGCUUGAAAUGUUUAUUUGCAUGAAAAUAUAUUAAGGAAAAAUGGCUUUGAUACAUUUUUUUUUUUUUUUUCCAUAUUCAAAAUCCAUAAAUUCUUUCUCACUUAAUUUCUGUCUGCCUGCCUGUCAUUCUCCAAAUGUAUCAGGUCAUAUCAUGAGUUGCCAUAUAGGGUUAUUUGAUAAUAUUUCUUAUUGUUUCAUGUAAAUAAAGGUGCAUGAAAUAAAACCAAAACCAAAAAAAAAAAAAUAAAGGAAUGUUACUUAUGGAACGACCAGAUAUUCCUGCCACAACUUAUUUGAAUACAAGUAACUGGCUGAGUCCCAUCUUCUUUCUUUUUGCCCCUCAUAGUCAUAUUUUAUCUCUGAACUAAGUAUAAGUGGCUUUUAAUUAACAAAUAUUUUGUUGUAGUUGAUGUUAUUGUUAAUUUGUUAGGUUUCUAUACAUCAGGCAAUUUUUCCUUGUGUUAUGUUGAGCCACUGUAAACUAACUAUGUAAAAAAUCAAAAAAGAAGAAAAAGAGAUAACAGAAAAGUGGCAGCAUUUUAGAAAUGCUGGAAAACUAGAUUUUAUGUUUAUUUUCGUUUCUGCCUUAUAUUUCUUUCCUUCUUUCUCUAUUUUUGUAUCUAAAUGUUCACAUAAUAUUAUCAUAAUUCCUUCCAUAAAUGAAGUUUCACAGUUAGAUAUCUAACAGCAAUAACAAAUCAAAUAAAUGCUGACCAUUAAGGUUUAUUAAACUCCUUCAACAUACCAGACAUCUGAUGUAUUUUGUUGUUUUUAUAGGAGAAAUAUAUUAUAACAUACUAUAAAUAUGUAUUUUUUAUUAAAUUUAGUAAAUAAAGGUUUGUCAUGCUUAACACUCCUUAUGAAACAAUAGACAUAUAUUUCCUUUCUUUCUGCCUUAUGAUGAAUGCUUUUUCUUCAAUCUCUCUCUCUCUCUCUUUUGCUCUCUUUUCCUAAAUCAGUACUUGUUGAUUCUAAAGGGUGCUUUGGCUACAUAUAGUUGUCAGUAACAGUCCCGUGGUAGAUUAAAGUAAUGAAAUGCUUCGACAUAUAUAAACUGCAAAAAUAUAUCCAAUAGAUGUGGAGAUUAAAAUGGAACAAGUUCCUUGCAUUUCAUAAAUAUUUGCAAAAUAGACUUUAAGAUAUACAUGUCAAGUAUUUCAUGUAAAAGGCACUUAAAUUAAAAAUCAUUUGUGGAAUGUCUGUAAAAUACAUAGAAUUAUAAACCCUAACAAAAUUAGCACUUCAUUUGCAAACUUAUUUCUCCAAGACUCCUAUCAGAAAAAGGAAAUUAAAUUUGCAUAUCUUUGCUUCUCAACUUCCUGAAUUUUUAUAUCUUACCAUGGCAGUUGAUCUUCAAGGUAGCUGUUGGUUGAUAUUUCUGCCAGUUAUUGUUUUGUUUGUUAUAAUUCACUGGUUUGUUAUUGUUAAAAUAAGUUAGAGAUGAUAAAUGAU